rnacentral:rRNA from 1 species
UACGGAGGAUCCGAGCGUUAUCCGGAUUUACUGGGUUUAAAGGGUGCGUAGGCGGGCGCCUAAGUCGGCGGUGAAAGGCUGCGGCUCAACCGUAGGACUGCCGUCGAUACUGGGCGCCUUGGAUGCGGUCGAGGCGGGUGGAAUGCGCGGUGUAGCGGUGAAAUGCUUAGAUAUCGCGCAGAACGCCGAUUGCGAAGGCAGCUCGCCAGGCCGUGAUUGACGCUGAGGCACGACAGCGUGGGGAU